ACGAAUCAAGGGUCCAGCAAUAAAAAACCCCGACUAUCGGGGUUUUUUGUUAUCUAGCUUUUGUAUUUUGGUUAGAUAGUUGCUUGGGAUUUAAAUUGGGCUCUAUGCCCUUUUUUU
rnacentral:sRNA from 1 species